rnacentral:snoRNA from 1 species
GGCCUCUCAGGGUUGCACCCGGAGAGUUUCCAGUACUCCACCAGUCUCAGCUAUGGGAGGGCCAGUCGAGCAGAGGCCUACUCAUUCCAUUCCUAGCUCGGCCAGUGGCUAGCGAGUGGAAGGCAAUCUGCUAUAAGU